rnacentral:rRNA from 1 species
CCUACGGGAGGCAGCAGUGGGGGAUAUUGCACAAUGGGGGGAACCCUGAUGCAGCGACGCCGCGUGGGUGAAGAAGCGCCUCGGCGCGUAAAGCCCUGUCAGCAGGGAAGAAAAUGACGGUACCUGAAGAAGAAGCCCCGGCUAACUACGUGCCAGCAGCCGCGGUAAUACGUAGGGGGCAAGCGUUAUCCGGAUUUACUGGGUGUAAAGGGGGCGCAGACGGCGAUGCAAGCCAGGAGUGAAAGCCCGGGGCUCAAACCCGGGACUGCUCUUGGAACUGCGUGGCUGGAGUGCAGGAGGGGCAGGCGGAAUUCCUGGUGUAGCGGUGAAAUGCGUAGAUAUCAGGAGGAAGACCGGUGGCGAAGGCGGCCUGCUGGACUGCAACUGACGUUGAGGCCCGAAAGCGUGGGGAGCAAACAGGAUUAGAUACCCUGGUAGUC